GACAGAGGGUGCAAGCGUUGUUCGGAAUCAUUGGGCGUAAAGGGCGCGUAGGCGGCUUUGUAAGUCGAAUGUGAAAUCCCAGGGCUCAACCCUGGAAGUGCAUCCGAAACUGCGAAGCUAGAGUCCUGGAGAGGGUGGUAGAAUUCCCAGUGUAGAGGUGAAAUUCGUAGAUAUUGGGAGGAAUACCGGUGGCGAAGGCGACCGCCUGGACAGAGACUGACGCUGAGGCGCGAGAGCGUGGGGAGCAAACAGG
rnacentral:rRNA from 1 species